UUCCUUUGGACUUUGUUGACUGAAGGCAUACUUAUGCAAUCUGAUGAGAACUUUAGUCAGGACUGGAGCAGAUGGAUUUAGAUCUUAUGAAGGGUCCAUUCAAUGCGUAGAGGUUGACGCAUCAUGGCGCAAUGGACACAAGGGAGUUCAGAUGAAGCCAAAACAUUGGACCAUUGUACAAGUGUCUCAUUACUUCAGUUUUCCUUAAAGG